UACGUAGGGUGCGAGCGUUGUCCGGAAUUAUUGGGCGUAAAGGGCUCGUAGGCGGUUUGUCGCGUCGGGAGUGAAAAAUCCAGGGCUUAACUCUGGACUGGCUUCCGAUACGGGGCAGACUAGAGGUAUGCAGGGGAGAACGGAAUUCCUGGUGUAGCGGUGAAAUGCGCAGAUAUCAGGAGGAACACCGGUGGCGAAGGCGGUUCUCUGGGCAUUACCUGACGCUGAGGAGCGAAAGUGUGGGGAGCGAACAGG
rnacentral:rRNA from 1 species